GGGACUGACUAUGGGGCUGGAGAGAUGGCUCAGAGGUUAAGAGCACUGGCUGCUCUUCCAGAGGUCCUGAGUUCAAUUCCCAGCAACCACAUGGUGGCUCACAGCCGUCUAUAAUGAGAUCUGGUGCCUUCUACUGGUGGGCAGGCAUACAUGGAGGUAGAAUGUUGUAUACAUAAUAAAUAAAUA